GUGUGGGGCUUUUACAAAUAUAAUCAAUUCCCCGAACAUGUUGACACCUCCGACUGACAAUAAGAAAAUGAGGCGGAAAUGAAAGAAUGACCGGCCACUUAGUUAUGAGUGGUGUUGCCAUCUUUGUGCUUAACUUGGGUAAUUAAUGGAAAUGUGGGUGCGUGUCGUAAAGUUAGUAUGAUACAACCCUGUGCUGCCGUGAGUUUGGCACGUAUGGGGCAUACAAAAAGAAAUGAUGAAGAAUGGAAAAUUGAGGGAAAAUUUGAAAGGAGGGAAAGUUAAUAUUGGCGUGUGUACCCGCGAUAUAAAAGGCUGCGACGGGAUAAUUGAGGUAGUUUUGUAAUGGUGAUUAGUCAAAAAGGAUUAACCUGUUUGUAACGAAGUCUCAGAAAAACAAUAAAAAUCGUAUAAAAGUCUACAUAAUAUAAUUUAUUAAAUAUAAUUGUUUUGUUUAAAAUAUAUUUUGUUGUGUUUCAUGUGUGUGCGUACAAUCCAAAAAGAAAGCGCCAAUCACAACCAGAUAUAUAUGGGCCUCCUCAAGAAGUGCAUGAGAGGAGGUCUGCUAUUUUUCCUUGGAGGAUUGGUUUUCCCCCAAUUUGAAGUUCCGCCUAUGCGUGCCGGGAUAAUUGUGGGCAACUAUAAACCCAUUGACCGUCAGUCCGUGUGGAGGCAGUCGGUUCCGGAUUGCCAUAUAUUUAAAGAGACGGAAACCAGGUAACUCCGAACCUCAACCAUUUGUUUAAUAUCCGAGUGCGAAAAGUAGGAGUACUAGGAAAGAAGUCCUGAAAGGAAAAUAGGAAAAGAAAACUUUUGAUUUAUUCAUUUAACUCAGCUUUUUAAAGAUAAGAAACCAUACUAAUCACUAUACAAAUACGAUAACAAAAAAAAAAAAAAAAAAAAAAAAAAAAAGGAUUCUCCAACGUAUAAAAAAUUAUCUGUGUAGUUAUAAGUAGACUAAUUAGUAGUUAGUGUGAAUAGUGUUUAAGUGUAUUGAUUUGUGAUGGGUUAUUAAUGCCAGACCGAUAUAGUAUAGGAGUGUAGGGUUACCCCUGGAUUACAGAUAGUCUUAAUUCGAAUUGUUGAAACCUAUGGGCCAAAGUGAAGAUGCCCUAAACCUACUAAAAGAGCUCUGUUAGGCAGGUGUGUAAAGUAAGCAGAAAGAAAAUGAUAGCCAGAGUGGGCUGAACAACUAUCAGUAACAUAAGGUAAUCCGAGUCAAUGACUCCAUCUAAACUUUCUUUUAUUUUGUAUGGGCGUUAAUGAUCCUAAUUAUAAUAUAAACCGAACCAAUGUUUUACCAUUAUUAUUAUUGUUAGGAUUAAAUAUACUGACUAUGUCAAUAAAUAUCUUUUUUUGUGUAAAAUCGUAAAUCACGUUAUGUUGUGCUAAAUUUAUGUGAGGGAGGAAGUUAGAGAUAUGCUGUAUUGAGGUAAGAGUGUUUGUGGAAAACGGGGCCUUUUAAAUAAGAAUACGUCUAGGGAAAGAAAAGGUCAAAGGUUGGGCGGGCUCAGUGUGGAAGCGUUCAUCAUCAAGCUUCCAUAUCAUAGAGGUAUGUCAAUUCAGUAAUCGUUUUGUUUUAUAUGUGUGUUAAGUACAAAAAAUGUAUAUUUAUUGUUCUUCCCCUUGUGCUAGUGGUGGUAGGGUUGGGAACCCCCUGAAGGUAGCCACCGUCUGAGCAAGUCGAACCCCACCAUAGCGCCACUGAAGGUGGAAUGCAACAAUAUGGCGCCCAAAUUUAAAUUACAAUACCUUAUCGCUUCUAUCUCAGGCAAGAUACCACCAACCUACAUAUACACACAAUUUAAAGGUGUCAAAUACAAUAAAAGGGUAUGCCAGAUAGGCGAUAAAAAAAUAAAUCGUGCAAUAACAGCGAAGCACGUUGCAAUAGCCAAUAGGGAACAAUAAUUUUAAACGAAUAUCACAUUUUCUAGACGAGCUAACAAAUAUUGCAGCCACUCUUUUUGUAAAAAACUGUGAUAUAAUGUGCAAUAUUUUGUUUAGAGAGUUAGAGAAUUAGGAUAGUUCGUUCCAUGUUAGUGUCAAGUUCAAUAUCUCUUGUUCGUUAAGUGUAACAAUGAAUGUAUUGUAUGUUUGACCGUUUUUAUGUUUUCGUCAUUUAAAAUUGUAUUAUUAGAGUAAAAUCAAUAGAUUAAGGAUAGCUAGGGAAAAGUUGCAAUAACUGAUAUGACGAUAUACGUCAUAUACUGUAUUGAAAAACAUUUCUCAAGUCGCGAGAUGAGAACUAUAGGAAACUG